CAACCCUCAGGCCCUGCCUGGCGUUGGAGGACUGCGCACGCAGCCUCCCAAAGCAAGCGGCGGCGGCGCCCCAUAACCGAACGCAGUAGUUACUUCUCGUUCUGGGUCUGGGACGUUGUCCGGCCGGAAAACCCCCAACUAUUACAAGU
rnacentral:misc_RNA from 1 species